UUUUCUCUGCAUUGACAACAACAUAGACGAAUGACAUAAUGAACAACUUUGAACGCGGUCCGUCGAACAGGAACAAAAUGUCUGGAUGUGGCACUGCUCUAAUUCCAGGCUGUUCUCUUGCAUAUGGAAACAUCAUCUCGGAUAAAGAAGCAUUGGAAUAUUCUCGCAUUACAUUUUAUGACCAGCAUAGACUCUGCUAUAGAAAUCCCAUUAGAGGUUAGGCAGCCUUAUGACUGAAGGCUUCAGGACUGUCACUCUGUUUUUGACUUUCUCUUUUACAAUUUUAAUCUCCUCCAAUGCCAACUGGCCAUAGUUCCUCAGUUAAUUAAUGUACAGAUAUUUUUGGAUACUAUUUAUGUUUAAUCAGUUUCCACCUUUAUUCUCUGCGUGUUGUAACAAUUCUUCUUCUUCCAUUCUUCCAAAGCUAGUUUUAGAGCUAAACAUUUUUGAAUACCUGUGUCAUAGUCCUAUUGACAGAAGGUAACUUAUGAGAGAAAAAAGCACAAAGACGGAGAUUGUCAAAAUCAUAUUUUUGUGACAGAAUAAAGCCUACCACAAUGCUGGACACAUCUAUUUAAACUAUGAAUUAGUUUGUGGGUUUGGGAUGUCAAAGAAUGGGUGCUGAUGUGAAGAGCUGUUUUAAUGUAUCAAAAAAUGUUACAUUUCUGUUGACCACACAAAUUUUUAUGUACCUUUUCAGUUAAAAAAAUUAUGGAGAAGAUAAUGGUGCUGAAAUAUUUAUUGAAGCGUCAACAAUAAUUUUCAAACUUCACAAUUUUUUGUAUUGUAUUUGUUUCUUGCUAUCAGGAAAUGCCCAAUUAAAGAUAGCAGAAAUUUAA